rnacentral:rRNA from 1 species
CCUGGCUCAGAACGAACGCUGGCGGCAGGCUUAACACAUGCAAGUCGAACGCUCGUAGCAAUACGGGAGUGGCGGACGGGUGAGUAACGCGUGGGAACGUGCCCUGAGGUACGGAAUAACUGAGGGAAACUUCAGCUAAUACCGUAUGAGCCCCGAGAGGGGGAAAGAUUUAUCGCCUUGGGAGCGGCCCGCGUCGGAUUAGCUAGUUGGUGGGGUAACGGCCUACCAAGGCUUCGAUCCGUAGCUGGUCUGAGAGGACGAUCAGCCACACUGGGACUGAGACACGGCCCAGACUCCUACGGGAGGCAGCAGUGGGGAAUCUUGCGCAAUGGGGGGCAACCCUGACGCAGCCAUGCCGCGUGAACGAUGAAGGCCUUAGGGUUGUAAAGUUCUUUUACCCGUGACGAUGAUGACGGUAACGGGGGAAUAAGCUCCGGCUAACUUCGUG